rnacentral:rRNA from 1 species
UACAGAGGUCUCAAGCGUUGUUCGGAUUCAUUGGGCGUAAAGGGUGCGUAGGCGGCGCGGUAAGUCGGGUGUGAAAUCUCGGAGCUUAACUCCGAAACUGCAUUCGAUACUGCCGUGCUUGAGGACUGGAGAGGAGACUGGAAUUACGGUGUAGCGGUGAAAUGCGUAGAUAUCGUAAGGAAGACCAGUGGCGGAAGGCGGGUCUCUGGACGACUCCUGACACUGAGGCACGAAAGC